UACGGAGGGUGCAAGCGUUUAAUCGGAAUUACUGGGCGUAAAGCGCGUGUAGGCGGCUUGGCAAGUCGGGUGUGAAAGCCCUCAGCUCAACUGAGGAAGUGCGCCCGAAACUGCUUUGCUUGAGUGUCGGAGAGGAUGGUGGAAUUCCCCAAGUAGAGGUGAAAUUCGUAGAUAUGGGGAGGAACACCGGUGGCGAAGGCGACCAUCUGGACGAUAACUGACGCUGAGACGCGAAAGCGUGGGGAGCAAACAGGG
rnacentral:rRNA from 1 species